rnacentral:ncRNA from 1 species
GAUAGGUCUCUGUCGCUACAGUGAUUGGACACUGACACAGAGUCAACUAGCCUUGUGCACGCGGUCAGCCGCAGGAAAACACGGACGGUCCGAGCCAUGAGGGGGGAGGCUCGGACCGUCCGUU